UACCCGCUGAACUUAAGCAUAUCAAUAAGCGGAGGAAAAGAAACCAACAGGGAUUGCCCUAGUAACGGCGAGUGAAGCGGCAACAGCUCAAAUUUGAAAUCUGGCCUCGGCCCGAGUUGUAAUUUGCAGAGGAUGUUUCUGGCGCGGUGCCUUCCGAGUUCCCUGGAACGGGACGCCACAGAGGGUGAGAGCCCCGUAUGGUUGGACACCAAGCCUGUGUGAAACUCCUUCGACGAGUCGAGUAGUUUGGGAAUGCUGCUCUAAAUGGGAGGUAAAUCUCUUCUAAAGCUAAAUACCGGCCAGAGACCGAUAGCGCACAAGUAGAGUGAUCGAAAGAUGAAAAGCACCUUGAAAAGGGGGUUAAACAGUACGUGAAAUUGUUGAAAGGGAAGCGCUCAUGACCAGACUUGUGCCGGGCGGUUCAUCCGGGGUUCUCCCCGGUGCACUCCGCCCGGUUCAGGCCAGCAUCGGUUCUCGUUGGGGGAUAAGAACGGUAGGAACGUGGCCCUCCCUCGGGAGGGUGUUAUAGCCUGCCGUACGAUACCCUGAUGGGGACCGAGGUUCGCGCUCCGCAAGGAUGCUGGCGUAAUGGUCAUCAGCGACCCGUCUUGAAACACGGACCAAGGAGUCGUCCAUUAGAGCGAGCGUUUGGGUGUAAAACCCGCACGCGUAAUGAAAGUGAAAUUAGGUGAGAGCUUCGGCGCAUCAUCGACCGAUCCUGAUGUUCUCGGAUGGAUUUGAGUAAGAGUUUUAACGGACGGACCCGAAAGACAGUGAACUAUGCUUGUAUAGGGUGAAGCCAGAGGAAACUCUGGUGGAGGCUCGCAGCGGUUCUGACGUGCAAAUCGAUCGUCAAAUAUGAGCAUGGGGGCGAAAGACUAAUCGAACUGUCUAGUAGCUGGUUACCGCC
rnacentral:rRNA from 1 species